ensembl:lncRNA
CCCCCUUCCUCCCCCCUCCUUUUUUGUUGUUGCAACUUUGUAAGAUCCUGGGGAAGGUGCUGAGACUUUGGCUCGGGCCGAUUUCCCGGUCUCGGGAUCCGUGCAGGGAUUCCCUAAGCCACAUCCUCCUUUCCGUCCACCCGCACUCGCGGGUCCUCCUAGUCCGCCGCCCUCUCGGUCUUGGCCCCCCAGCCUAAUCACUUAUCCCACCCCCCUCAGUUCCCCCCAACCUGCUCCAGGAAGACUUGCUGAGGGUCGCCCUGGUUUCUUGUCGACCGCAGAACCCGAAAGUUUGCAAGAGGAAGAGAGCGCGCGGCGAGCAAGCGGGCAAGGGGCAGCGGCAGCGGCAGCGGCGCCGGGGACCAUGGUGCUGCCGGCGCCUCCUCCGCGGGCGUGAAGGCGGCGCUCCCACUCCCUCCCCGGACUCUGCGGUGUCCCAGGACCUUUUGCUGACAAUUCCAGUUUCCAAAAAAAAAAAAAAAAAAAACCAUUUGGGCGAUGGUGAGGGCUUCGAUCCCUUCUCUGAUUUGCUGUCAACCAUGAACCGGUGGAUGUGAUGCUUGCUGGCCAAAAGGAUGCUGCUGGGAAGUACUUUGACUUCUUGCCUGUGAAGUUGCUUCGAGGGUUUUCCACUGCUA